AUUGAACGCUGGCGGCAGGCCUAACACAUGCAAGUCGAACGAGUGGCGGACGGGUGAGUAAUGUAUGGGAAACUGCCUGAUGGAGGGGGAGAACUACUGGAAACGGUAGCUAAUACCGCAUACCAUCUGAUGGGCCCAGAUGGGAUUAGAGAGUAGGUGUGGUAAAGGCUCACCUAGGCGACGAUCCCUAGCUGGUCUGAGAGGAUGACCAGCCACCCUGGAACGGAGCCACGGUCCAGACUCCUACGGGAGGCAGCAGUGGGGAAUAUUGCACAAUUGGCGCAAGCCUGAUGCAGCCAUGCCGCGUGUAUGAAUAAUGCCUGUGGGUUGUAAAGUACUUUCAGCGGGGAGGCGUUACCCUCAGAAGAAGCACCGGCUAACUCCGUGCCAGCAGCCGCGGUAAUUC
rnacentral:rRNA from 1 species